AGUGAACGCUGGCGGCGUGCUUAACACAUGCAAGCCGAACGGUAACAGGUUAAGCUGACGAGUGGCGAACGGGUGAGUAAUGCAUCGGAACGUGCCCGAUCGUGGGGGAUAACGCAGCGAAAGCUGCGCUAAUACCGCAUACGAUCUGAGGAUGAAAGCGGGGGACCGUAAGGCCUCGCGCGAUCGGAGCGGCCGAUGUCAGAUUAGGUAGUUGGUGGGGUAAAGGCUCACCAAGCCAACGAUCUGUAGCUGGUCUGAGAGGACGACCAGCCACACUGGGACUGAGACACGGCCCAGACUCCUACGGGAGGCAGCAGUGGGGAAUUUUGGACAAUGGGCGAAAGCCUGAUCCAGCAAUGCCGCGUGCAGGAAGAAGGCCUUCGGGUUGUAAACUGCUUUUGUACGGAGCGAAAAGGCUCUCUCUAAUACAGGGGGCUCAUGACGGUACCGUAAGAAUAAGCACCGGCUAACUACGUGCCAGCCGCCGCCGUAA
rnacentral:rRNA from 1 species